AUUGAACGCUGGCGGCAUGCCUUACACAUGCAAGUCGAACGGUAACGGGCCUUCGGGUGCCGACGAGUGGCGAACGGGUGCGUAAUACAUCGGAACGUGCCCGAUCGUGGGGGAUAACGAGGCGAAAGCUUUGCUAAUACCGCAUACGAUCUACGGAUGAAAGCAGGGGACCGCAAGGCCUUGCGCGGACGGAGCGGCCGAUGGCAGAUUAGGUAGUUGGUGGGAUAAAAGCUUACCAAGCCGACGAUCUGUAGCUGGUCUGAGAGGAUGAUCAGCCACACUGGGACUGAGACACGGCCCAGACUCCUACGGGAGGCAGCAGUGGGGAAUUUUGGACAAUGGGCGCAAGCCUGAUCCAGCCAUGCCGCGUGCAGGAUGAAGGCCUUCGGGUUGUAAACUGCGUUUGUACGGAACGAAAAGCCUUCUUUUAAUACAGGAGGGUCAUGACGGUACCGUAAGAAUAAGCACCGGCUAACUACGUG
rnacentral:rRNA from 1 species